UACAGAGGUGGCAAGCGUUGUUCGGAAUUACUGGGCGUAAAGGGCGCGUAGGCGGUUCGGUAAGUCCCGUGUGAAAUCCCUCGGCUCAACUGAGGAAUGGCACGGGAAACUGCGGGGCUUGAGUUCGGGAGAGGGAAGCGGAAUUCCACGUGUAGCAGUGAAAUGCGUAGAGAUGUGGAGGAACACCGAUGGCGAAGGCAGCCCCCUGGGUCAAGAUUGACGCUCAUGCACGAAAGCGUGGGGAGCAAACAGG
rnacentral:rRNA from 1 species